rnacentral:rRNA from 1 species
UACGGAGGGGGCAAGCGUUACUCGGAAUUAUUGGGCGUAAAGGGCGCGUAGGCGGUUCCGUUCGUCGGAGGUGAAAUCCCCGGGCUUAACCCGGGAGCUGCCUCCGAUACGGCGGGACUUGAGUCCGGGAGAGGGGAGCAGAAUUCCCAGUGUAGCGGUGAAAUGCGUAGAUAUUGGGAGGAAUACCAGUGGCGAAGGCGGCUCCCUGGACCGGUACUGACGCUGAGGCGCGAAAGCGUGGGUAACAAACAGG